UACGUAGGGGGCAAGCGUUGUCCGGAAUCAUUGGGCGUAAAGAGCGUGUAGGCGGCCCGAUAAGUCCGCUGUGAAAGUCCAGGGCUCAACCCUGGGAUGCCGGUGGAUACUGUCGGGCUCGAGUCCGGAAGAGGAGUGUGGAAUUCCUGGUGUAGCGGUGAAAUGCGCAGAUAUCAGGAGGAACACCAAUUGCGAAGGCAGCUCGCUGGGACGUUUACUGACGCUGAGACGCGAAAGCGUGGGGAGCGAACAGG
rnacentral:rRNA from 1 species